rnacentral:rRNA from 1 species
UACGUAGGGUGCAAGCGUUGUCCGGAAUUAUUGGGCGUAAAGAGCUCGUAGGCGGUCUGUCGCGUCUGCUGUGAAAACUCAGGGCUUAACCCCGAGCUUGCAGUGGGUACGGGCAGACUAGAGUGCGGUAGGGGAGACUGGAAUUCCUGGUGUAGCGGUGAAAUGCGCAGAUAUCAGGAGGAACACCGGUGGCGAAGGCGGGUCUCUGGGCCGUAACUGACGCUGAGGAGCGAAAGCAUGGGGAGCGAACAGG